rnacentral:rRNA from 1 species
GCUUAGAGAGGGGUCAAUGUCCUAUCAGCUAGUUGGUAGGGUAAUGGCCUACCAAGGCAAAGACGGGUAGCCGGCCUGAGAGGGUGGUCGGCCACACUGGGACUGAGACACUGCCCAGACUCCUACGGGAGGCUGCAGUCGAGAAUCUUUCGCAAUGCCCGAAAGGGUGACGAAGCGACGCCGCGUGUGGGAAGAAGGCCUUCGGGUUGUAAACCACUGUCGGGAGUUAAGAAAUGUAAGGGUGUUAAUAGCAUCCUUGCUUGACUAAGGCUCCGGAGGAAGCCACGGCUAACUCUGUGCCAGCAGCCGCGGUAAUACAGAGGCGGCAAGCGUUGUUCGGAAUUAUUGGGCGUAAAGAGCACGUAGGCGGCUUUGUAAGUCAGUUGUGAAAGCCUUCUGCUCAACGGAAGAACAGCAUCUGAUACUGCAAGGCUAGAGUACGGAAGGG